rnacentral:sRNA from 1 species
GUUUUAUUAUUUUCUC